UACGAAGGGGGCUAGCGUUGCUCGGAAUUACUGGGCGUAAAGGGCGCGUAGGCGGAUAGUUUAGUCAGAGGUGAAAGCCCAGGGCUCAACCUUGGAACUGCCUUUGAUACUGGCUACCUUGAGUUCGGGAGAGGUGAGUGGAAUGCCGAGUGUAGAGGUGAAAUUCGUAGAUAUUCGGCGGAACACCAGUGGCGAAGGCGGCUCACUGGCUCGUAACUGACGCUCAGGCGCGACAGCGUGGGGAUCAAACAGG
rnacentral:rRNA from 1 species